UUGGUUUGGAAAGCCAUUUGAAUGGUUCCGGGAAAGUUCGGUGAAGUUCGGGAGCAUACGGGCGUUUUGGUGCGCGUAGGCGCGAAAACGGAACCCGAAAGGCUAUGUUGGACCAUGAACUAAAUCCGGCAUUAGCGUGGAUGAAAAGAUGAUGAAAAUAUGCUCGAAAACAUGUUUGGAGAGUCUCGAUUCGAUUUGAAACGAAUCGGAUGUCAAACGAGCGAAAACGAGCGAAAACGGAGCGAAAACGGUGAAAAAGCUGAAAAUUUGGCUAAGUCCUAAAUGUUGGAAUUCU
rnacentral:lncRNA from 1 species